CCUACGGGAGGCAGCAGUGGGGAAUAUUGCACAAUGGGCGAAAGCCUGAUGCAGCCACGCCGCGUGAGCGAUGAAGGCCUUCGGGUCGUAAAGCUCUUUCCUCAAGGAAGAUAAUGACGGUACUUGUGCAUUAAGCCCCGGCUAACUACGUUCCAGCAGCCGCGGUCAUACGUAGGGGGCUAGCGUUAUCCGGAAUUACUGGGCGUAAAGGGUGCGGAGGUGGUUUCUUAAGUCAGAGGUGAAAGGCUGCGGCUCAACCGUAGUAAGCCUUUGAAACUGGGAAACUUGAGUGCAGGAGAGGAGAGUGGAAUUCCUAGUGUAGCGGUGAAAUGCGUAGAUAUUAGGAGGAACACCAGUGGCGAAGGCGGCUCGCUGGACUGUAACUGACACUGAGGCACGAAAGCGUGGGGAGCAAACAGGAUUAGAUACCCGAGUAGUC
rnacentral:rRNA from 1 species